UACAGAGGGGGCCAGCGUUAUUCGGAAUUAUUGGGCGUAAAGGGCGCGUAGGCGGCCAUGCGCGUCUUCCGUGAAAUCCCUCGGCUUAACCGAGGACGUGCGGAAGAAACUGCAAGGCUCGAGUCCGGAAGAGGGGGGCGGAAUUCCCAGUGUAGCGGUGAAAUGCGUAGAUAUUGGGAGGAACACCAGUGGCGAAGGCGGUCCCCUGGGCCGGAACUGACGCUGAGGCGCGAAAGCGUGGGUAGCAAACGGG
rnacentral:rRNA from 1 species